rnacentral:rRNA from 1 species
UCGGCUGGGAACUCUAAGGAGACUGCCGGUGAUAAACCGGAGGAAGGUGGGGACGACGUCAAGUCAUCAUGGCCCUUAUGGGUAGGGCUACACACGUGCUACAAUGGGCGGUACAGAGGGCUGCGACCUCGUGAGAGCAAGCAAAUCCCAGAAAGCCGUUCCUAGUCCGGAUUGCAGUCUGCAACUCGACUGCAUGAAGUCGGAAUCGCUAGUAAUCGCGAAUCAGAAUGUCGCGGUGAAUACGUUCCCGGGCCUUGUACACACCGCCCGUCACACCAUGGGAGUGGGUUGCAAAAGAAGUGGGUAGUCUAACCUUCGGGGGGGCGCUCACCACUUUGUGAUUCAUGACUGGGGUG